rnacentral:rRNA from 1 species
AAUCAACGCUGGCGGCGUGCCUCAGACAUGCAAGUCGAACGAUCAAACUUUCCUUCGGGAAAGAUAUAAAGUGGCGCACGGGUGAGUAACACGUAAGUAAUCUACCUUCGGAUGGGGAAUAACAGUCGGAAACGACUGCUAAUACCGCAUAAUGCAGCGGCACCUAAUGGUGACAGUUGUUAAAGUAUUUAUACGUCUGGAGAGGAGCUUGCGGCAGAUUAGCAGUUGGUAAGGUAAUGGCUUACCAAGGCUACGAUCUGUAGCCGACCUGAGAGGGUGGUCGGUCACACUGACACUGAAUAACGGGUCNGACUCCUACGGAGGCAGCAGUCGGGAAUUUUGGGCAAUGGGCGAAAGCCUGACCCAGCAACGCCG